UACGUAGGCAGCAAGCGUUGUUCGGAAUUACUGGGCGUAAAGAGUGUGUAGGUGGUGAUCUAAGUCUGUCGUGAAAUCUCCCGGCUUAACUGGGAGGGUGCGGCGGAAACUGGAUCGCUAGAGUAUGGGAGAGGUAAGCGGAAUUCCUGGUGUAGCGGUGAAAUGCGUAGAUAUCAGGAGGAACACCUGUGGUGUAGACAGCUUACUGGACCAUUACUGACACUGAGACACGAAAGCGUGGGUAGCAAACAGG
rnacentral:rRNA from 1 species